UGAGGAAUAUUGCACAAUGGACGCAAGUCUGAUGCAGCAACGCCGCGUGGAGGAUGGAGGUCUUUGGAUUGUAAACUCCUUUUCUCAGGGAAGAGAAUGGACGGUACCUGAGGAAUAAGUCACGGCUAACUACGUGCCAGCAGCCGCGGUAAUACGUAGGUGGCAAGCGUUAUCCGGAAUUACUGGGCGUAAAGCGCACGCAGGCGGUCUUUUAAGUUUGACGUGAAAGCUCUCGGCUUAACUGGGAGAGGUCGUUGAAGACUGGGAGACUUGAGGCAAUGAGAGGGGUGUAGAAUUCCUGGUGUAGUGGUGGAAUGCGUAGAUAUCAGGAGGAAUACCAGUGGCGAAAGCGGCACCCUAGCGUUAGCCUGACGCUCAUGUGCGAAAGCGUGGGGAGCGAACG
rnacentral:rRNA from 1 species